ACCGACGAUGGAUAGGGGUUCUGAGAGGAAGGUCCCCCACAUUGGUACUGAGACACGGACCAAACUCAUACGGGAGGCAGCAGUGAGGAAUAUUGGUCAAUGGGCGUAAGCCUGAACCAGCCAAGUCGCGUGAGGGAUGAAGGUUUAUGGAUCGUAAACCUCUUUUAUAAGGGAAUAAGUGCGGGACGUGUCCCGUUUUGUAUGUACCUUAUGAAUAAGGAUCGGCUAACUCCGUGCCAGCAGCCGCGGUAAUACGGAGGAUCCGAGCGUUAUCCGGAUUUAUUGGGUUUAAAGGGUGCGUAGGCGGCCUUUUAAGUCAGCGGUGAAAGUCUGUGGCUCAACCAUAGAAUUGCCGUUGAAACUGGGGGGCUUGAGUAUGUUUGAGGCAGGCGGAAUGCGUGGUGUA
rnacentral:rRNA from 1 species